rnacentral:tRNA from 6 species
AUUUAUAUAGUUUAAAAAAAAAACAUUACAUUUUCAAUGUAAAAAUAAAAAUUUAUUUUUUAUAAAUA